rnacentral:lncRNA from 13 species
GGUCUUACUCUGCUUGUCCAGGUGGUGCAAUCUUGGUUCACUGCAGCCUCCACCUCCCAGGCUCAGGUGAUCCUCUGAGCUCAGUCUCUUGAGUAGCUGUGACUACAGAGUUGACCCAUCUCCAGCAAGGACAGAAAGACGAUGGGCAUCAUGCACAGCUCUCUGAAAGAACAGAGAUCCUGUUAACAGCAAGCCAUGUGUCUCUCAGGUCCCCCCAGCCACCUGCAGCCCAGCCAUGCUGCGUUAGAAACCACAGAUGCAACCCACGACCUCAUUCUACCGACUGAGAGCAGAGCCAGGGAAAAGGAAUUGGUGCAAAGAUGAAUUGAGUUAAUAGAUGAAAAUGCUUCAAAUAGUACUUGGCAGAGUUAGCAGCAAGUAAAUGCUGGUCAUGAUUAUUCACGGAGCCACGGAUAAAGUCACAUGUACCAAGCCCCUUCUCUGUGCUGCCGUCAGGGUUCCAGUGAGGGACAAGACGCAGGAAGCUGAGGAAACAGAGACCUGGAGACAUAUAUGCAAUUACCCUCAAGCGAGAGGUGAACUGGAUUCAGUCGACGCAGAUGUCUGGGGUGGGACCCUGAGAUGCUGCGUUGCUCACAAGCUCCCAGGUGAUGGGAAUGGACCUGGUCCAUGGGCUGCACAUGAAGCAGCAGAGAUGCAUCGAUGUGUCCAUUGAAUAGACACAGACCAGGAAGUCGACCUGCUGCCACCCCAGAACUGUGUCAUUUAUUUAUUCUGCCCAUAUGUAUUGGGUGUUUCUCCUUGCCAGGCAUUGUAUUGAGAUACUGUAGAAGACUAAAAGAUGAGACAGGCGUGCUCCCUGACCUGAUGGACUUUAGACCUAAAGCAAAUGAACUAAACUCUUACAAGUGUAAUAAGAGGGGCUUUGCUUACAGCACACAGAAGUACAUUAUAUUGUGCGGAUGGAUGUGAUGUGCAGAACGCCACUGGGCAAGAGACACGAGUCAGUGCAGCAGCGGCAGGAUAUUUGCAGACGGGCUUGAGUACCGGACCCUCACCUCUCUUGAGAGACUCUGAGAGUGGUAUACCUUGGCCUGCCCAUACCACUCUCCAUCCCCACAUCCUCCAGCUCAGGGACAUGUUUGAUCAGGCCUGCAUGAUCAAAACCACCCCCAACCACAGUAUGGACACUGACACCUAGCCCUCCGUUUACUGUGAGAGUUACUCUUUGGAUUGUUUUGAAUCGCAAAGGAUGUCAUUGACCCCAAUGCUACCCCAUCUUCACUGGUGCUCAGAAUUUUCUGGGCAUAUGGCUGCCAGAGUUGGCAAAUAAAAACACAAGAUGGCCAGUUAAAUGAGAAUUU